GACGAACGCUGGCGGCGUGCUUAACACAUGCAAGUCGAACGGAAAGGCCCUGCUUUUGUGGGGUGCUCGAGUGGCGAACGGGUGAGUAACACGUGAGUAACCUGCCCUUGACUUUGGGAUAACUUCAGGAAACUGGGGCUAAUACCGGAUAGGAGCUCCUGCUGCAUGGUGGGGGUUGGAAAGUUUCGGCGGUUGGGAUGGACUCGCGGCUUAUCAGCUUGUUGGUGGGGUAGUGGCUUACCAAGGCUUUGACGGGUAGCCGGCCUGAGAGGGUGACCGGCCACAUUGGGACUGAGAUACGGCCCAGACUCCUACGGGAGGCAGCAGUGUGGAAUAUUGCACAAUGGGCGGAAGCCUGAUGCAGCAACGCCGCGUGCGGGAUGACGGCCUUCGGGUUGUAAACCGCUUUCGCCUGUGACGAAGCGUGAGUGACGGUAAUGGGUAAAGAAGCACCGGCUAACUACGUG
rnacentral:rRNA from 1 species